UUUAUGAAAUCAAAGUUAAUUUUUGAAUUUUACGUUAAAACGAAUUCGAAUUACGAAAUCACGUUCGAUUGAAAUUAGAAAGCAAUACUAACCAUUUUGGAUUCAACAACCUAAAUCCUACUCCUAGCCCAAUUGGGUAAAGCCCAAACCAAUAAAACCCAAAACAAUAUUCCCACCCCUCUCUAAUUCACGUGAGAUCAAAGAAACAAAAAAAAAAGAAACAAAAAAGAAACCCCUCCCUUUUCAUGUAACUGCCCCUCCUCACUGCCGUUCCUCUCUCCCGCCUUCACUUUCGUUGCUGCAGCCUCCCUCGCCGUCGGACCACCAUCACCGUCGCCGCCGGUAAUGCUUCUCUCUUUCUGCUCCUUCGACCUCCUUCUCCUUCGUUCCUUGCCUUCUAAUUUCUGGCGUUCUUUCCCUUUUGUUGUGUCGGUUCGCACGCAACAGCAGCCGUCACGAGCCGCGCCGCCGUGAACCUUCCUCGCCGUCAGCCUAACCCCGUCCACCGCGCACGCCACCACCACCGCACACCGUGUGCCGCCGACCUUGCUCAGCCACCGCCGCCGUGACGUUGUCCGCCGGCAGCCCAAAACCUCAUAUUUUCUUGGCAGAGAAUUCUCUUUAGGCGACUUUUGAAAGUGUUAAAGUGGCCUAUCAGUUUGUUUACACAAGGUCAUUCAUCUACGACUUCUUUUAACUACAUGGAAUUGAAGCUAGAGGCAAACAAAAUUUGGGGGACUCGAAGAAUGUCCAUCUCAAUUAAUACACGAGGUUAAAAAUGAAGCAAAUAGAAGGAUGCAAUGCACAAGCAGUAACAGAUAUAAUGUACCUAGAGCUUGAAGGUGACCCAAACUUCUUUUUAGAUAUAGGUUAGAUGAGAAAGGCAAAUUGAGGAGCUUGUUUUUGAGGGACUUUAUGAUGAUGAAGACUAUGGUACUUAUGGAGAUAUAGUGGUUUUUGACACAACCUAUAGUGUAAUAACCCGUAUUUUAUUAAUUUUAGUUUAAUUAAGCAUUUUAAAAGUAUUUGUAUUAUUAUUAAAUCAUAAAAAUUAUAAAGGGGAUUUAAUU